rnacentral:rRNA from 2 species
ACAUACGAUCACAGGGCGUGGAAAAUAAGCUUUCCCGUCCGCUCAGCCGUACAUAAGCCACACUGAUAAAUGUAGCCAGAAGUUAAAUGAGACCCGAGGAUGUCGCUGCUUUAUGAGUGACAGACUCUAGAUCAUGGGUGAGUAUAGGUGAGAUGGGUAAGAAUUC